rnacentral:rRNA from 1 species
UUUCUCCGCCGGCGACCGGCGCACGGGUGAGUAACACGUAUGCAACCUGCCCCUGUCAGGGGGACAACCCGCCGAAAGGCGGGCUAAACCCGCGUACAUGCCACCGGGCAUCCCGGAGGCAGGAAAGGCUUCGGCCGGACAGGGAUGGGCAUGCGGCGCAUUAGGCAGUAGGCGGGGUAACGGCCCACCUAACCGACGAUGCGUAGGGGUUCUGAGAGGAAGGUCCCCCACACUGGUACUGAGACACGGACCAGACUCCUACGGGAGGCAGCAG